rnacentral:lncRNA from 1 species
AUAUGCAUAUGUGAUAUGUGUAAAUGUAGCUAUGUGUGAGAUACAUAAUUUAGUUAUUAGAUCUAAAUAUACAUGAGAUGUAUAAAUGAUCAAAACUAUUUUAGAUUAGAUCUAAGGUGCAGGUUUGAUCAGAUUGGGUCAAACCAAGUUCUAUUGGUUAGAACUCAUCAACAAGAUUUUGACGCAAGGAGUCCUAUUCCUGGAGCAAUUUUCGUGUGGAUCACCUGUGGAGGGCAAACACUUAUAUGUCUAUGGA